CUAUACGUGCAAAAAACCAGAAAGCAUACAAGCGUCAUGAAGGCACUAAGUAUCCUCUACUUUAAAAAAGCCAUCCCUAGAGCUUCAUGGCGUGCUCUAAGAAGACUCUUGUUGUUCUCGUUGUUCCGAUAUUAUUAGCUCUUCUUGCUUCGACCAUGCCAGCAAGCCAAGGCGGUCGUGCCCUCUUAGGAGGGGAACAAUGCUCCACAUCUAACAAUUGCAAUGAGCAGCUGUGUGGAGCAACAUGUGCCGUCUUGGGGGAGAAUGCUAUUGGGAUAUGCAAGGUUGUUGGAGGGAUCUCCUCCUGUUGUUGUGUCCCAAAACCAUCCACAUCAUUCAAUACUCAACUCUAGCUAGUUCACAGAUCCAUCAUUGUUCUCACUCAAUAUUGAGAAUGUCACGUUUUGUUAGAAAAAAUAAUAUGUAUUGUAUGGGACAAGAUGUGUGGCACAAUGUAUUACAUCCAUGCUAGGAUGGCAAAUAAGUAAUGGUUUGUAUUUUAAAA